GAGCUCUUUCAUUUUUACUUUGUUUCGACAAGGCGAUUACGAAAAAAAUCCGCAGAGACAUAAAUACAUGCACACACCAACGUAA